UACGUAGGGUGCGAGCGUUAAUCGGAAUUACUGGGCGUAAAGCGUGCGCAGGCGGUUUUGUAAGCCAGAUGUGAAAUCCCCGGGCUCAACCUGGGAAUUGCGAUGGAGACUGCAAGGCUAGAAUCUGGCAGAGGGGGGUAGAAUUCCACGUGUAGCAGUGAAAUGCGUAGAGAUGUGGAGGAACACCGAUGGCGAAGGCAGCCCCCUGGGUCAAGAUUGACGCUCAUGCACGAAAGCGUGGGGAGCAAACAGG
rnacentral:rRNA from 1 species